GGAGAAAUGGCAGAGUGGUCGAUUGCGGCAGUCUUGAAAACUGUUGAACCGCGAGGUUCCUGGGGUUCGAAUCCCUAUUUCUCCGCCA
rnacentral:tRNA from 1 species